CCAGAUAUUAGUCAAUGCUCGCAAGAGUGAACUAGCUAACUGAAAUCACAGGAUCCAUUAAUAUGGUGAAUGUAAUAACGUAAGGGAAAAAAAUGAUAUUACUUUACUAUUAGUGUUGUCCAAAACUGGUGCCAGAAGACUCGGUAAGGCCAGAGACGCAAACGUUAGUCGUCCUAAUCAGGCGUAAAGGGUAUGUAGGCUGCUUUAAAAGUUUUAAUAUUAAUAGCUAUAUGUAAGUGGAAUUAAAAAAUACUUACUUAAAAAAAUAUAAGAUGAAUUAAAGCUAGGAUCAAAUUGAGGAUAAUUAAAAUAAUACUUAGUGUAGGGUUUAAAUCUGGUGAUACUAGGGGGAGUACUAACGGUGAAAGCUUUUAUCUAGAAAUGAUUGACGCUGAGAAACGAAGGUGAGAAUAGGAAAUAGGAUUAGAUACCCAGAUACCUCUCACAGUCAACGAUGAAUGGUGGUUGUUAGUUACUUAAAUUUAACUGAUAACGAUGUUAACACGAUAACCAUUCCGCCUUGCGAGUACGGUUGCAAAACUGAAACCAAAAAAAUUAGUCGGUCUCGAAGCAAACGAAGUGAAGCAUGUUAUUUAAUUCAUUAAUUCCGC
rnacentral:rRNA from 1 species